CUACGGGGCGCAGCAGUGGGGAAUAUUGCACAAUGGGCGCAAGCCUGAUGCAGCCAUGCCGCGUGUGUGAAGAAGGCCUUCGGGUUGUAAAGCACUUUCAGCAGUGAGGAAGGUGGUGUAGUUAAUACCUGCACCAUUUGACGUUAGCUGCAGAAGAAGCACCGGCUAACUCCGUGCCAGCAGCCGCGGUAAUACGGAGGGUGCGAGCGUUAAUCGGAAUUACUGGGCGUAAAGCGCAUGCAGGCGGUCUGUUAAGCAAGAUGUGAAAGCCCCGGGCUUAACCUGGGAACUGCAUUUUGAACUGGCAGGCUAGAGUCUUGUAGAGGGGGGUAGAAUUUCAGGUGUAGCGGUGAAAUGCGUAGAGAUCUGAAGGAAUACCGGUGGCGAAGGCGGCCCCCUGGACAAAGACUGACGCUCAGAUGCGAAAGCGUGGGGAGCAAACAGGAUUAGAUACCCGCGUAGUC
rnacentral:rRNA from 1 species